rnacentral:rRNA from 2 species
CCUACGGGGGGCUGCAGUGGGGAAUAUUGCACAAUGGGCGAAAGCCUGAUGCAGCAACGCCGCGUGAGCGAAGAAGGCCUUUGGGUUGUAAAGCUCUGUCGGGUAGGAAGAUAAUGACGGUACUACCCGAGGAAGCCCCGGCUAACUACGUGCCAGCAGCCGCGGUAAUACGUAGGGGGCGAGCGUUAUCCGGAAUUACUGGGUGUAAAGGGUGCGUAGGUGGCUGCUUAAGCGUGAGGUGAAAGGCAAUGGCUUAACCAUUGUGAGCCUCGCGAACUGGGUGGCUUGAGUGCAGGAGAGGAAAGCGGAAUUCCUAGUGUAGCGGUGAAAUGCGUAGAUAUUAGGAGGAACACCAGUGGCGAAGGCGGCUUUCUGGACUGCAACUGACACUGAGGCACGAAAGCGUGGGGAGCAAACAGGAUUAGAUACCCCGGUAGUC